GACGAACGCUGGCGGCGUGCUUAACACAUGCAAGUCGAGCGCAGCGGCGAACGGGUGAGUAACGCGUGAGUAACUGCCCCCCCCUCUGGGAUAACAGUUGGAAACGGCUGCUAAUACCGGCUAGUGGGGGAUGGUUCGCGUCCUAUCCGCUUGUUGGUGGGGUAGUGGCCAACCAAGGCGACGACGGGUAGCCGGCCUGAGAGGGCGACCGGCCACAUGGGGCGGAGAUACGGCCCAGAGUCCUACGGGAGGGAGCAGUGGGGGAUAUUGCACAAUGGGCGAAAGCCUGAUGCAGCGACGCCGCGUGGGGGAUGAGGGCUUUCGGGUUGUAAACCUCUUUCGCUAUCGAAAGGGUAGGUGGAGAAGAAGCGCCGGCUAACUACGUGCCAGCAGCCGCGGUAAUAC
rnacentral:rRNA from 1 species